UACAGAGGGGGCCAGCGUUAUUCGGAAUUAUUGGGCGUAAAGGGCGCGUAGGCGGCCAUGCGUGUCUUCCGUGAAAUCCCUCGGCUUAACCGAGGACGUGCGGAAGAAACUGCAAGGCUCGAGUCCGGAAGAGGGGGGCGGAAUUCCCAGUGUAGCGGUGAAAUGCGUAGAUAUUGGGAGGAACACCAGUGGCGAAGGCGGUCCCCUGGGCCGGAACUGACGCUGAGGCGCGAAAGCCAGGGGAGCAAACGGG
rnacentral:rRNA from 1 species